UACAGAGACUGCAAGCGUUAUUCGGAUUCACUGGGCGUAAAGGGUGCGCAGGCGGUUGUGUGUGUCAGGUGUGAAAGCCCGGGGCUUAACCCCGGAAUUGCGCCUGAAACUACAUGACUAGAGCAUUGGAGAGGGUAGCGGAAUUCACGGUGUAGCAGUGAAAUGCGUAGAUAUCAAGUGGAACACCAGUGGCGAAGGCGAGUCUCUGGACAUUUCCUGACGCUGAGGCACGAAAGCCAGGGGAGCAAACGGG
rnacentral:rRNA from 1 species